AUAGCUGAAAAUUAUGUAGUAACAAUUGCAUAAAUCACAUCUGAAGUUCAAUGGACAGAUCAACAUUAAAAACUGCUUACUAAAUACUACACAUUAAAAACACUGUUUAAGCAUUACUUCAUAUUGACAAACUUAGUUUUUUAAACCAUUUGUUUGUUAAUGAACAGAAAAAGCAUUAUGCCUUAAACGACAAAAAUAUUACAGCAAUGACUAUAGUGUUACUUCAUGUUGUCAACGCCAGAAAGUCAAAAAUUCAAACUGGUCAUAUCACAAAUAAUCCACAUCAGAGAAUGUACAAAUCUAAUUUUUUUUACUCAAGAGACUAGAAAUUUAAUGUAUAUAAUGAAUGUUGGAGAUUCAUUGAUGUCAAAUUAAGUACAUAUUAGAUUUUUUUCAAUUUUCUUCAUCUUCAGUCAAUACCUAAAUUAUCAGUGUUUUCAAACUUCAAAUUGGGUCAAAUACUGUAUAAAUUUAGAAAUUCUUAACAUUGAUUACCUGGCUGAAGAUCAGUGAACUUCAGUUGUUAUUAGGCUGAAGGCAAAAUUAACUCUUCAGUGGGUGAAAUUAAAAAAAAAUGUUUUGAAAUAACCAAGAUGAUUCAGCAGUGUCAAAUUUAGAGCAUAUAGGCUUUUUCAAUUUUAUAAAUUUAUUACCUUACUAUAUAAAUUAAGGCAGUGUUUUCAAAUUUCAAAUUUGAAUACUGUAUAAACAUAGCCAUUCUUAGUGGGAAAUGGUUUACAUCAACAGAGAUAAACACAGCAUCAGACAGAACAGAUAUAUGUAAACUCAGCUGCAGCUAUGCUAAUAUCAUAAAUAAAAUUCGACAUCAAUCAUCCUGGCUGAAGAACAAUUACUUCAGGCAUGAACCGGCUGAAGACCUAACAGUAUAAUUGACACUCCAGUGGAUGAAAUUUAAAAAAAAUGUUUUUAAACAACUGUUUCAAAUUUAGCACACAGACUUUUUCAGUGUUUUCAAACUUCAAAUUGGAUCAAAUAGUGUAUAUGCUGCUAACUUUUUAUAUAACAUGGAUAAAGAUUCGUUAACUUCUGGCAUGUGCAAGCUGAAGACCUAUCAGCAGAAUUGAGACUCCAGUUUAUGUCAUUGCGAACAGAAAUAUGUAGAAAUGAAAAAGUUAUUAGGAAGGAGGGCAUAAGUAACCUACCUACGAACAAACCCAUUGAACAACCGAUUUAUAUUCGGCCGAACAUCAUAUGCACUCACCCUAACCGAAAUUUAUGGGCUCAUGCCUUAACCCUAGAUUGUUCCGACCUAGAAGAUAGAACAUUCGGGAAUUCGUGACAACGACGUGAAGAAUUUCAGAAUCUUGUCUUCUUUCUUCUGUGUAAGAAUCACAAUCGUGUGAUUCGUGUGACAAUAGAAAAUCGACUGAACGUGUAAGAAGUUUAACAAGAGGUUCGGACUGUUAAUGGGAUUCGUUGCAUUGUGACCGAAGAGUCAAUCCUAAGUUGAAAAAUGGGUGAAAAGUUAAAUGAACAACUUAACUAUUGACAUACCUGUCUUGUUCCGGUCGUUUCGGAUUCCUGAUAUUUCUUCCCUUCCAGCCUCUCCAUUAUGCAGUCUUCUUCAUCCGAGUGUGGACCCUUGGAUUUUCUCUUAUUGUUGAAAAUACGCGAAAACGCGUUCCACAUGAAAACUUCACGGCUCGGAUAUCAUAAUAGGCCCCGUCGUCCGAGGGUAAUCGUCUCUUCGAUGUUUAACUUUUCUCGUUCGCACCUAUCAUGACACGUUAGGUUAUGCUCGGGAAAAGUCGCUGAUAAAUUGGCCGAAUCGCUUACCGGCGAGAAGGGAGGACAACGUUGGAUUUUUCAACGGGGUGAAACUUAAGAAUCGACGAACGCAGGGACAAACGGAAAAAAACGAAAUAAAUCAACGAUUGGGACUUAUCAAAAGGUGAAAAGUUGGAGAAAUCACAUAAC